UUACUGAUUGGUCCAGGAAGGAUCGAUCUCAUUGUUGUUGUCGUCGAGCCGAGCCACCCUCGGCCAGAGGUUUGACGCUUCUGCAGUGCA